GACGCGGGGCCUUCCCGCCCCCACCGCCAGGCCUCCUAACAGUAGAGCUGCCUUUGGACGUCCCACCGUUGGAAAUCAGCAGAAGGUUGCUGGCAGGCUCAGGUCAGGAGGUCCUACCUGCUCUGGGAGACACACGGGAGUCUGUUGGCUUAAACGUUCUGGAAAUUCAUCUGUGUGACCCAAUAGCCCCGGCUCUCGGGGUUACUGCUGCUGGAGUCCUUCCGCUUGUUCCAACCAAAGCUGGUGUUGAAGGUCAAGGACAAUGAUAGCUCUUCUUGUGCUAAAGCAUUGGAGGGUGCAGCUGUUAUGGACCCAGUUCCCCAAGACCAUUCAAAAAUUACAGACAAAACGAAGAGAAGAAAGAGAUUCCGAUGAAUGCCAUCAACCUCAUGAGGUAGUGUGACACCAUUCUGCAGAAGCGAGUCCCCGCUUGCUGACAGGGUGACUGCUUUGGAGCCCACCGGGCCU